GUGGAGUAACCUUUUAGGAGCUAGCCGUCGAAGGUGGGACAAAUGAUUGGGGUGAAGUCGUAACAAGGUAGCCGUAUCGGAAGGUGCGGCUGGAUCACCUCCUUUCUAAGGA
rnacentral:rRNA from 1 species